rnacentral:tRNA from 1 species
GCACAGUUGGCUUAGUGGGUAGAGCAUGUGACUCUUGAUCUCAGUGUUGUGAGUUCAAGCCCCAUGUUGGGUG